GAUGAACGCUGGCGGCGUGCCUAAUACAUGCAAGUCGAGCGAACAGACGAGGAGCUUGCUCCUCUGACGUUAGCGGCGGACGGGUGAGUAACACGUGGAUAACCUACCUAUAAGACUGGGAUAACUUCGGGAAACCGGAGCUAAUACCGGAUAAUAUAUUGAACCGCAUGGUUCAAUAGUGAAAGACGGUUUUGCUGUCACUUAUAGAUGGAUCCGCGCCGCAUUAGCUAGUUGGUAAGGUAACGGCUUACCAAGGCAACGAUGCGUAGCCGACCUGAGAGGGGGAUCGGCCACACUGGAACUGAGCCACGGUCCAGACUCCUACGGGAGGCAGCAGUAGGGAAUCUUCCGCAAUGGGCGAAAGCCUGACGGAGCAACGCCGCGUGAGUGAUGAAGGUCUUCGGAUCGUAAAACUCUGUUAUUAGGGAAGAACAAAUGUGUAAGUAACUAUGCACGUCUUGACGGUACCUAAUCAGAAAGCCACGGCUAACUACGUG
rnacentral:rRNA from 1 species